rnacentral:rRNA from 1 species
GGAUGAACGCUGGCGGCGUGCCUAAUACAUGCAAGUCGAGCGAAUGAAGAGGAGCUUGCUCCUCAGAUUUAGCGGCGGACGGGUGAGUAACACGUGGGUAAUCUGCCUGUAAGACGGGGAUAACUCCGGGAAACCGGGGCUAAUACCGGAUAAUAAGAAGAAACGCAUGUUUCUUUUUUGAAAGUCGGUUUCGGCUGACACUUACAGAUGAGCCCGCGGCGCAUUAGCUAGUUGGUGAGGUAACGGCUCACCAAGGCGACGAUGCGUAGCCGACCUGAGAGGGUGAUCGGCCACACUGGGACUGAGACACGGCCCAGACUCCUACGGGAGGCAGCAGUAGGGAAUCUUCGGCAAUGGGCGAAAGCCUGACCGAGCAACGCCGCGUGAGCGAUGAAGGCCUUCGGGUCGUAAAGCUCUGUUGUUAGAGAAGAACAAGUACGAGAGUAACUGCUCGUACCUGACGGUA